UACGUAGGUCCCGAGCGUUGUCCGGAUUUAUUGGGCGUAAAGCGAGCGCAGGUGGUUUAUUAAGUCUGGUGUAAAAGGCAGUGGCUCAACCAUUGUAUGCAUUGGAAACUGGUAGACUUGAGUGCAGGAGAGGAGAGUGGAAUUCCAUGUGUAGCGGUGAAAUGCGUAGAUAUAUGGAGGAACACCGGUGGCGAGAGCGGCUCUCUGGCCUGUAACUGACACUGAGGCUCGAAAGCGUGGGGAGCAAACAGG
rnacentral:rRNA from 1 species